GAUGAACGCUGGCGGCGUGCCUAAUACAUGCAAGUCGAGCGAACGGACGAGAAGCUUGCUUCUCUGAUGUUAGCGGCGGACGGGUGAGUAACACGUGGAUAACCUACCUAUAAGACUGGGAUAACUUCGGGAAACCGGAGCUAAUACCGGAUAAUAUUUUGAACCGCAUGGUUCAAAAGUAAAAGACGGUCUUGCUGUCACUUAUAGAUGGAUCCGCGCUGCAUUAGCUAGUUGGUAAGGUAACGGCUUACCAAGGCAACGAUGCAUAGCCGACCUGAGAGGGUGAUCGGCCACACUGGAACUGAGACACGGUCCAGACUCCUACGGGAGGCAGCAGUAGGGAAUCUUCCGAAAUGGGCGAAGGCCUGACGGAGCAACGCCGCGUGAGUGAUGAAGGUCUUCGGAUCGUAAGACUCUGUUAUUAGGGAAGAAGAUAUGUGUAAGUAACUGCGCACAUCUUGACGGUACCUAAUCAGAAAGCCACGGCUAACUACGUG
rnacentral:rRNA from 1 species